rnacentral:rRNA from 1 species
CAGCAGUCGCCACGGUAAUACAUAGGAUGCAAGCGUUAUCCAGAAUGAUUGGGCGUAAAGCAUCUUUAAGUGGCUUUUCAAGUCCGUCGCCAAAUCCCAGGGCUCAGCCCUGGACAGGCGGUGGAAACUACUAAGCUAGAGUACGAUAGGGGUAGAGGGAAUUUCCGGUGGAGCGGUGAAAUGCGUUGAGAUUGGAAAGAACACCAACAGCAAAAGCACUCUGUUGGGCCGACACUGACACUGAGAGACGAAAGCUAAGGGAGCAAAUGGGAUUAGAUACCCCGGUAGUCCCUGUCUCUUAUAC